GGGUUCACAGUCGCAGUCUGCAAACUCUGUCUGUAAAUCAGACGGUGUGGAGGGCAGGUCGGCACUCACGCCUCUGGAGUGGUGGAGUGGACUCUCCAGAGCGUGGACGAGGUCCGCCAAGGCUCCGAUGCCAGGCAGGUCCUCCUUCACACCGUCUUCCCCACCGGAGAAUCAGAUGCAAAGUUGCUUGAACGUGUUUGUCUUAAAUUCCUGUGCUGCUACUUCCUUUUACCAAAACUGUGUGAGUGAAGGAGGCCCUUGAGGGGCUGGCCCCGUGGCCCAGUGGUUGAGUUUGCGCACUCUGCUUCGGCGGCCCAGGGUUCCACCACUUCAGAUCCUGGGUGCAGACAUGGCACCGAUCUUCAGGCAGUGCUGAGGGGGCGGCCAACAUACCACAACUAAAAGAACUCACAACUAAAACAUACAACUAUGUACCGGGGGUAUUUGGGGAGAACGAAAAAAAGAAGAAAGAAAGAUUGUCAACAGAUGUUAGCUCAGGGCCAAUUUAAAAAAAUAAGAAGGCCCUUGAAAGAGCAAGCGAGGUUCUCUCUCCUCAGACAGCUCUGUGGAGUCUGACUGCGUGGAUCGGGUGGGCUCCCGAGUGCACCUGUGACACUUAGGGACCCUGACUGCAUGGAUCAGGUGGGCUCCCGAGGGCACCUGUGACCUUUAGGUGGGCUUAGACCUUUAGGUUUCAGCGUGGUGUUUGACGUGAUAAUAGCACUGUUUCCAAUUAUGUCUUCCCUCAAGUUUGCUUGUCGUAAGCAGGGCCAUUAAGAAGAGGGAAGGAAAGGAGGAGAAAACCGCAGCCAACAGCGUGUGCUGGCCUCAGGCUGGAAGGUGGACCUUUUCUUGCUCCGUCUGUUUUCUGGCUCAGCCUAGAAAUGUAGCCACCCUAUUCACAAGGGUUAUUAACAAAUAGAAACGGCCGAAGCAGCCCAUCCUGUGUCCAUAAGCCUUUCACCUGGCACCCUGGGUGAGGCCAGAUGCACCAGAUGCUCUAGUGAGGUGCCCUCCAUGGGGCAGGAUAGCAGGAGUCGUGCUGAGGGAAGUCCCCCCACGUGUCUGUCCUUUACUUCCCUCCUGUAACAGGAGCCCUUCCCUCCCCCGGAAAGUCACGCUGGGCAGCUGGCUGCUGCUCAUUUGACCCUGUGUGUGAUUCUGUGUGCUGUGGCUGCUGGAUGCCUCAAGUGGGGGUGAAACGGAGACCUCUUCAACCCAAACUGUCCAGUGGUCCUUCCACAUCCAUGUCAGAUGAACACAGCCUAUCAGCCCUUCCUGUGUCCUUUGUCUUUGAAGAGGUAACCAGGAGAGCCACGAGGAGGUGCACUCUCCUGCGCCGUUCGCCCCUGCACGGUGGGGACGGAAGGGCUGCCACUUUGGCUGCGUGAUCACUGGCCUGGGGACCUGGGGAUGCGAUGCUCUUCCUGCUGGCUCUACGACGCCUGAACGAAUGACCGAAUCUUUCUGAGUCAGAGACGUCACGCUAAAACAAGAGGAUUACAGGAUUUUUCAGGCCCCUUCCAGUCCUAAAAGGCCAUGAAUCUGUGAAAUGAGGGGGAAAAGAUAUACGAAACCCAACUGGAUCAAAUCAGUAAUGGGGCUGACGGGCACAUGAAGCCGGGGUUGUUCCUGAAUUGCUGACUCCCUGUUAUCAGCACACGGCUCAUUCAGUUGACAGAGUGAACCUAAGAUGUGGGGAGGGAGGCAAACAAUGCUGUCACAGGAGGAGAAUUCGGAAAGAUGGUGAUGUUUGUAAAUUUCCCAGGCAUGCGGCGUGAUGAUGUUAAAUGCUCAGGGUUUUGAGUCAGUCUGCCCAGACUCAAAUUUUAGCCUCAUGACUCGGUAGCUGUGUAUCCUUAGCCAAAUUUCUUUCCCUGGGCCUUGGUUCAUCAGAUGUAAAAGGAGAUAAUAAUACUAUUCACCUCAGAGUUGCUAUGAGGAUUGAAUGAAAUAACGCAUGCCGGCCCGGGGCAUGAAACAUUGGACACAUGUUAACGUCAGUACUUCUGCUGGUGCUGCUACCACGUGUAGUGCCCAGUGAAUGGUACCUCCAGACCUCCAGAUGCUGGUGGACAGAGGGGACAGCUGUGGGGUGUGACUCAGGCACCAGACUGGCAUCUGAAGCCUAGGGCUUGAGUUCAAGAGAACAGGGAUGAAGAAUGUGCCAAGAAACAAAGCCCAUGGUGCAGAGAACACAGGCUCACGCGGCUGCUCACCAGCUGGGUGACUCGGUCUCCCCACGAGGACACCAAGCUUCUCUCAAGGAUGUGGGAUGGGCUGCAUGAGAUCACGCAUGUGAAUCAUUGUAAACCACAAACUCCUCUGCAAAUGUAAGGAUUGUUGUGAGCUAGUGAGAUGAUGAAGGAACCUGUGACAGAAGUCUUUCUGAAACAGGCGCUCAUUUCUCUGACGUGCUGCAGCUGUUGGAGGAUCCGGGGUUAUCUUCACGAGCGUCUCUUACUGACAGAUAAAACAAUCCUGUCUGCCGUGCUGUGCCAUUUUAACCUGCUUUCUCACCCAUAACUCUUCCAUUCCCACAACCUGAAGGGUGCGCAGGCUAUGUGUCUCAUCCCGAUCCUGUCCCUAGUUCUAAUUUUCACAGCUGCCACAGUCCGGCCUCUGCUCCCACUUCUCUUCCCUCAUACCGCGUAGUUAUUGUUGGAAGCAGAUGUAAGAAUAACAUCAAACACUCAUCCUGAACGCCAGGUCUCAGGGAGCCUUUGAGCAAGGAAGAGGCGCGUGCAGGAACUUCAGAAAGCUUGCUUUCCAGCAGCUGAACUGGAGCAGACGGGGGCCUGUGGACUGAGGUCAGGACAGACUAGAACAUCGUCUAAUGACAAGGAAAGGAGCUAAGAGCCUGUACUUGAGAGGAGGCAGGGAGGAUGGGGAGGAGCCGGGGACGAAAGAGACCAGGCGGCAAGGACGUAAACCUUUUGAGCUGUAUGAGUCCAGUAAACAUUUACUGAACGUUAACCACAUGUCAGGUAUUGUGCUGGGGGCUGGGAACCCAUCAGGGGGUAAAAUAGACAAUCUUUGAAUAUACUUUUAUAAAAGAUACUGAAAUGUAUAUCAAAUUGACUUUUCUCAUAAAGACCAUCCAUAAAAGUUGAAAGCAUGAAAUUAAAUCUUAACUCAGUCAAGGUAUUUUUUGGAGUUAGUAAGGUAAAAUAAUCUGAGUACAUUUAUUUCUGAUGAUAUAACUUAAAAUAGGCACGGAAUACAGAGAAUAUGCCCUGUAGGCUGUGUUUCAAAUGUCGGCUGUGUCUGGGAGACCACUGCCACGGCUGGGUUUUGGUUAAUUCCUGGUCGGAGUCUCCGCCUGACACCUGACACAGCAGUCUCUGUGUGGCUCGUCAGGGAAAGCCCCGGAGGCCGCAGGUGCUCACGAACAGGGUCGACACGUCACCGGGAACAUUUAGAAGCCUGACUUUUUAUUCUUUCCCAGGCCAGGGGUCAUUCUCCUCCUCAUAGAAGGGGGCCACAGAGACGGUGAGAUCACAGAUUCCCCCAAAAGUCUAUCGUGUUGCUCAGACUCCUCAAGGACUUGCCUAGACCUUGCUGGUGCCCCACAGCUAGAGAAGAGGCCACUUUAUCUUGAGAAAAUAUCGAGAGUAGGUUCGACCAAUUCUUCACUUAUAAACAGGUUUUUCUUAGGUCAAAGAGACUAGUGUAAGCUAUUUAUACAGUGUCUGUAGAAUACUCCUGUAGCGUGUGGUAAGGAUUGCAGUAACACAUUCCAGUGUCUACUGCAUAACAAAUACUCAGUAAAUUACAGCUUCUGUCAUCUCCAAAUCCAGACUGGACACUCCUUAAGGGGACCAGGUCCUGUUCUCUCUACCAAGUUUAGAUAUUUAUAAUUCUCUAGGCAUGCAUGAGACGGUAUUCACUAAAGAUAGCACAAUCCAGCUUCGUACGUGAUAGGAGAGACCAGCACUAACGCCCUUUAUCGGGCUUGCAGAGUUAGAGGUCCCGCACAGUGUUGCCAAGCAAAGCGAGUGAUUUAUCAGAGAAUCAGACCCACAGUCUUAGGAGGCUAAAAGCAGGGGUCCUGGAGCCAGACCACUGGGGUUUGAAUUCUGGUUUCAACCCUCACCAGCCGGGUUCUUGAUGAAGUUGCUUAACUGCUCUCAGCUCAGUUUCUUUAUCUGCAAACUGGACACAUUCAAUGGAUUAAUGAAGUCAUGCACAGAUGGUCGGUCCUUAACUAGAACCUGGCACACUAUAAAGGUUCAAUUAAGGCUCGAUGUUGUUAUUUUUGGCUUGAUUUGCAUUGUUCUGACUCAUGUGCUAAUUCUGGAGGAAGCAACAAUGGCCAGCAGCAGAAAUGAAGUGACUCAGUGUGGUGAGAAGCACAGGAUGUCUAGGAAGAAGCGCAGAUGAAGCCAAGGGCAACAGCCUUUGGGAACAGAGCCCCGCCACUGCCCGACACAGAGCACACGCUGAGGCUGCUCCAGCCAGCUCUCCACUCACUGGAAGGUGGCCGGCCCUGCGGCUUCAACGUCGUGAGUGGCAGCUCUGGGAGGCGAAGAGGAAGAGAAGCGGAACCUCUGAGGACCUGUAAUCUGGGUGGAGCGACGUCCUCAUGAGGAAGGUGGAGACCGAGGUUACAUCUUUAAGUGCUAACACGUGUGGGUCGGCCUGUGCUCGGGUGGGAGUCACAGAGGGUGAGAGAGAGCAGGGACCGUUGUGCACCAUCCAUUCUUCUAGAGGAACGCGAGGCCAUUCGCCAUGACACGCUCAGGGACAAUUAGCAGUGAGGAGCUCUUGUCCACCCAUAUGGAAGCCGCACUGUUAGUUCCCGUUUUCCAGCAACGAUUCAGGACACAACUAACAUGUGAAGAACCAGGGGGUGGAUUAUGCAGGAAAGAGUGCAGGGUUAUGUAGGACUUGUUUACAACAUUUUUCCUAAUUCAGAUCAACAACAGUUCACUAAAUGGCCUAGAAGUUUGUAGCAGGGCCUGCACCAGGCCCACAAGAUGCAGGAGGAAGAGACGGUCCUGCCGGGCAGGGGGGCUCGCAUUCACAUCCCAGCAGCAGACCUAUCUCCCUGUCUAUGCUCAGGCUUGUGGGAAAAACGACCUAAAAAAACAUACUGAGAAGAUAAGAGUGUGUCAGAAAAAAGAAAACAGAGUGUGUCAAAGCAUAGACACCCACCAAGGUCCUGCAGUGUGUCAUAACAUGGACACAGCCUGCAGCUCCGCAGUGUGUCAUCACUGGUCACAGCUUGAGGCCCUGCAGUGUGUCAUCUGUGGACACAGCUCGAGGUCCUGCAGUGCGUCAUCCAUGGACACAGCCCGAGGCCCUGCAGUGCGUCAUCCGUGGACACAGCCCGAGGCCCUGCAAGAGCAGGAGCAGCUGAGAAAGCAGUAAUCUUCCUGCUCCUGUGAUCUCUUUCUCCCGCACGCGAGCACACCCGCCCUGGAAUUUAAUGGACGUAAAGUUAUGCGAAGAAUCACCAUGUGCAACAGGAACCAGGACGUCUCUGCCAAGCCCACCCCAGAGCAGCAGGUACACACGCCAGUCAGCACUGUACAUGCAACUUGCUCCUGAACUCCACAGCUCUCUGCCACACUGGGGGCAUUAUGCUCAACUGAGAGAUGAGGAAAGGCCACAGAAGAGCUGGUGACGGACUUCACAACAAAGAGCACCUUUAGGGCAAGUCAAGUCAGCCGUGUCUUUGAGCCUGCAUUUCCUCCUCGUACAGGGACAAUACCUACCCCCCAAGAAAUGAGGACAUCUACGUGCACGCACAAAUACAUUUUGUAACGCCAAAUACACACUCCCCAGGCUGAGGAAGCAAGCUGCUGUGGGCCGAUUUUCCAUUUUGAGAGUCUCACAGUCUGAUAUCUUCAAAGCAUGGCCUGUGGGCCUGAAAGGGUUUGUGUAACUGAAAUAAACACACGAAAAAUCUUUUGAGCACCCCUUAAGGCACUUCCAAAGGUUUGCUCUUUUCCUCCUUUUUAAAUAUCUUUGCUUCCAAGGACCCCAUGGGGGUCUGGGAGAGAAAACAGAUGAUCUGGGAGAUGUCAAGCUCUUAAUAAUAAGAAUGGUGAUAAAACCUCCAACAGCUCCUGAUGCUUGGAGAGCAAUGUUUAUGGUGGACAAGGCUCCCCAAGCCUGCAUCUGCUGCGAGGUCUCGGUGUCCA